rnacentral:rRNA from 1 species
GAUGAACGCUAGCUACAGGCUUAACACAUGCAAGUCGAGGGGCAGCGCAGUGUAGCAAUACAUGGGCGGCGACCGGCGCACGGGUGCGUAACGCGUAUCCAACCUUCCCGUUACUCAGGGAUAGCCUUCCGAAAGGGAGAUUAAUACCUGAUGGUGUUUGAAUUCCGCAUGUUAUUCAAACUAAAGAUUUAUCGGUAACGGAUGGGGAUGCGUGACAUUAGAUAGUAGGCGGGGUAACGGCCCACCUAGUCUACGAUGUCUAGGGGUUCUGGGAGGAAGGUACCCCACACUGGAACUGAGACACGGUACAGACUCCUACGGGAGGCAGCAGUGAGGAAUAUUGGUCAAUGGUCGGAAGACUGAACCAGCCAAGUAGCGUGAAGGAUGAAGGUUCUAUGGAUUGUAAACUUCUUUUAUACGGGAAUAAAACCACCUACGUGUAGGUGCUUGUAUGUACCGUACGAAUAAGCAUCGGCUAACUCCGUGCCAGCCGCCGCAGUAAAAC